ensembl:lncRNA
CUGCCAUCUACUUCACUGAGAACAUGUCUUCAUCUCAGGGAAAUGAACCGUUUCGAAGAAUCACAAGGCAACAAAUUCAACAGGAGGAACAGGAGAGAGGGGGCAUUGAGGAGUCGUUUCAAGAGGACCAGUAGCCGCUGCUUGCUGGUAUUAACAAACAGAGGAAAACAGAAAAAUACAAGUGAUGUGCCUUGGCAAACAUGCUGUAUUGCAUAUUUUACCCUAUUUUAUUUUGUAGACCUAUCAAGUGAGGUGACUUCCUCCAAAAAGAAUUUUUCAAAUCUGCGUACAAAAUAUGAGAGGAUUUCUUAUGCUGUUUUGGACAAGCUGGAGUUAAUUAAUAAAUGCAUUCAUAUUUCUGCACCUAAAAUCAAAUUACAAUAAAAC